ensembl:sense_intronic C030013D06Rik RIKEN cDNA C030013D06 gene
GUUCAAUUCCCAGCCACCACAUGGUGGCUCAUAGCCAUCUAUAAUGAGAACUGGAACCCUCUUCAGGCCUGCAGACAUAAUGCAGGCAAAACACUGUAUACAUAAUAAAUAAAUCUUUAAAAAAAGAAAUGUAAGGUAUGGUUCAUAGAUUUAUAAAUUUAGGUUUAGAAAUACUUAUUGAUAAGAUUGAAUCUAUUUUUUAAAGUUUAUUUUAUGUAUAUGAGUAUAUUGUAACUGUCUUCAGACACACCAGAAGAGGGCAUACUUGGUGUGAGGAAGAAUCAUUUUCUUCAAGUCCUUUGUUUUUUAUAUAAACACACGUUCUAUACACACAAAAUAAUUGUAAGAAACAUAAUCACAUUAUGUGGAAUCACAUAUUUGUUCUGAAUGUUAAAGGAUAUAUAGUAUCAGAUGCCAGUAGUGGCAUGUUUAACGUGCUUUGGGAAUAGAUUCAUGUAGACUGGUGUAGCCUUUUUUUUUUCUUCCUUUAUAAUUUUAUUGAGGAGGAAUGUUUAGAACUUGAAAGAUUUCUCUAGGGUCUAGAGAGAUGGUUCAGCAUUUAAGAGUGUGAAAUGCUCUUCCAGAAUAUCUGAGUUUGGUUCCUCGUGCCCACGUCACUGGCUCAGAACUACCUGUACCUCCAGCUCUAGGAGAUCUGAUGCUUCUGGCUUACUCACACACCCAGACGCUCUAGUGAUGUGCACAUGAUAAAACAAUUAAACAGGAGCUUGAAAGAUGGCAGAACAAUUAAGAGCAUUGUCUGCUCUUGGAGGAGACCAGCACCCACAUGGGGGUUCACAAUGGUCUUUAACUUGAGUGUCAGGUGACCUCAUGUCCUCUAUACACACACAUAUAUAUACACACACACAUACAUAUAUAUAUAUAUACAUAUAUAUACAAAUAUAUAUAUACACACACAUACAUACACACACACACAAAUAUACAAGAAGGCAAAAUACCUAUAUACAUAAACUGAUAAUAGAGAAAUAUUCCCAAAAGAAAUGUUUUCAGUGAGAUUAGCAGCAUAUGCCUCUAUUCCAUCACUUGAGAAUUAAAUUGGAAUUCAAGGCCAGCCUCAGCUGCUUUAGUAAGAUACAGUCCAACUCUUAUAUAUGAGAUCUUCUUUCCAAAGAGAGC